rnacentral:lncRNA from 1 species
GAAGGAAACUUUGUGUAAACGUAUUACAUACAUGUAGCUCCCAGAAGAAUAAAAUCACCAUUUUUUCAAGUAAAACGGUCUUUCUUAUAGAGAGUUUUUGCACUAAACUCGGAUGGAUUUUAAAAAAAAAAUUAAAAAAAUUGGCGGUCGGGGACUUUUAUCAGGUCGGGCGGGGACGCUAAACAAGUAAUUUUUUUUAUGUGGCCUUAUGU